GUGGGGUUCCGGCAGCCGUGGGUUGCGCGGAGCCGGCAGGAGGUCUCUGCCUUCCAGGUGGUCCCGUAAAGUGGGUACUGUUAUUAGCCCUAUUUCACAAUCUGCCCAAGAGCGGGUGAGGCCUGGAGGUGAGGCGGGCGGACAUGGGACGCACAACACAAAGUCUGGAGAGGGCGCCUCCAGAUGCUUCUUUGCAGGGCUUGCUGCCUCGUGAACCAUGAACUUUGUCUCAAAAGUCAUUUGGUUUCUUGUCUCGAAAACAUCCCACGACAGCUCUGAGUGCUACAAACCAGGCUGGGUGAUCUGCUGCUGCUGGCUUCCAGAUAUUGCUCCAAACGUUUCUGCGAGGCUGGUGAGUCCCAGGACAGCGAGACUUUCAAUGCCCACUGCCCGGUAUCUGGUAGUGCUCACAAAAAAUGUCGAUGGAGAAAAAAGUAGGACUGCGACGCGGGGCAGCAAUAGAUCUUCUCAUGCAGCACAGUUCCUGUCUACCAACAUGAGUUGCAGUCUAAAGCCACAGUGAAUUUUGUGACAGUAACAUUAACAAUCCAAUGGAGUAGAAACACUCUAGUCUUCCUAUAAACGUAUUCAACAUGGAGAACAGAAAUGAUUCUAGGAAUGACUUUGGUUUUUUAAAUUCUUCUUGAGGGAGAUAUAAAGAGCAUAGCAUCUUUGAAUUCUUGAGGCACUGUCACAAUACUCCAUAUGUUAUGGAAGAGCUGACACACAAAUAUAGGUCAUUAUUACUCUCCUUUUAAGAAUUGCAAGAGAGUGAGAGAGAGAGAAGCUGCAGCAAUCCAGACCAGAUGAUAUGGUAACACCAAACAGAAGAAGACACGAUCAUAUACACACUCACUGUACACUGGACUCCUUACUCUGUACGUACCCUCUG